GUUGAACGCUGGCGGCAGGCCUAACACAUGCAAGUCGAACGGUAACAGGAAGCAGCUUGCUGCUUUGCUGACGAGUGGCGGACGGGUGAGUAAUGUCUGGGAAACUGCCUGAUGGAGGGGGAUAACUACUGGAAACGGUAGCUAAUACCGCAUAACGUCGCAAGACCAAAGAGGGGGACCUUCGGGCCUCUUGCCAUCGGAUGUGCCCAGAUGGGAUUAGCUAGUAGGUGGGGUAACGGCUCACCUAGGCGACGAUCCCUAGCUGGUCUGAGAGGAUGACCAGCCACACUGGAACUGAGACACGGUCCAGACUCCUACGGGAGGCAGCAGUGGGGAAUAUUGCACAAUGGGCGCAAGCCUGAUGCAGCCAUGCCGCGUGUAUGAAGAAGGCCUUCGGGUUGUAAAGUACUUUCAGCGGGGAGGAAGGGAGUAAAGUUAAUACCCUUGCUCAUUGACGUUACCCGCAGAAGAAGCACCGGCUAACUCCGUG
rnacentral:rRNA from 1 species